CAGUAGCCACGGGAAAACCAGCACCUCGAGUGGUCAGGAGGUUUAUUGGGCCUAAAGCAUCCGUAGCCGGUUGCAUAAGUUUUCGGUUAAAUCUAUGCGCUUAACGUAUAGGCCGCCGAAAAUACUGUGCAGCUAGGGAGUGGGAGGGGUACACGGUACUCGAUAGGAAGGGGUAAAAUCCUUUGAUCUAUUGAUGACCACCUGUGGCGAAGGCGGUGUACCAGAACACGUUCGACGGUGAGGGAUGAAAGCUGGGGGAGCAAACCGGAUUAGAUACCCGGGUAGUCCCUGUCUCUUAUAC
rnacentral:rRNA from 1 species